ACACUCCUGCGGGAGUCAGCAGUGGGGAAUAUUGGACAAUGGGCGCAAGCCUGAUCCAGCCAUGCCGCGUGAGUGAUGAAGGCCCUAGGGUUGUAAAGCUCUUUCACCGGUGAAGAUAAUGACGGUAACCGGAGAAGAAGCCCCGGCUAACUUCGUGCCAGCAGCCGCGGUAAUACGAAGGGGGCUAGCGUUGUUCGGAUUUACUGGGCGUAAAGCGCACGUAGGCGGACUAUUAAGUCAGGGGUGAAAUCCCGGGGCUCAACCCCGGAACUGCCUUUGAUACUGGUAGUCUUGAGUUCGAGAGAGGUGAGUGGAAUUCCGAGUGUAGAGGUGAAAUUCGUAGAUAUUCGGAGGAACACCAGUGGCGAAGGCGGCUCACUGGCUCGAUACUGACGCUGAGGUGCGAAAGCGUGGGGAGCAAACAGGAUUAGAAACCCCAGUAGUCCCAUG
rnacentral:rRNA from 1 species